rnacentral:lncRNA from 1 species
UGUGAUCAGUAUAAGAAAAUCUUAUUUAAUAGUUGUCGAUACAUAUUUUAACUUGGAUCAACAUUGACUUAAAGUCAUUAAUAAAGCAAACAUCCCGGUCAAUACAACCUUUUAAAAAGUGAGCAAAAUAUAAUUAACGGCUAACAAAAAAUGAACUAAAAGCCAACUAUCUUCAUUUAAUUGUGUCAUUACAAGAUACCAAAACAACAAAACAGUGGCUAAAAUCUUAUCUUUCAACUAUGUCUUUGGGUUUUGCUUCCCCUAACUGGUAAUUUGCUUCUUUUUAUUGAAGGUUGAGCUGUUGCUUGUAGUUGGUUUAGAACUUCUGGAACUGGUGGCUGUGAUGAUUGUGUCUCAGAAAUUAGUGCUUGUGAAGAAAUGGGUUGUGAUGAAAGAGUAUUAACUCUUAUGUCAACACCUCUGAUUGCUGCAGCAACAGAUAAAGGGCCAUAUACCACAUUGACAGAAUUCUCCCCUAGUAUCAAUAAGACAAUAACUUUUAUUAAGACAAAAUGAAAAAUCAUAACUGAAUAUCCUAAUGUACCUCUUACCCUUGCAUAGAUAGUCCCAAUGCUAUCAGAAAUCAUCCCCCCAUAUCCUUGUCUUACCUAAUAUGUAUUAAGCUUUAUUAUAAUGAGUUGUAUAUGGAUAUCAUCACAUAUUCAUAAAAAUUAUAUUACAUUUCUCCUAUCUUCAACAAUUUCCUUCCUUAUAUUAUAUUGCUCAGAUGUUUGUUCAAAAUUUGAUGCAUAUUGAGUUGCAGUCCUUUUCUUACUUAGAAUUCCAAGUUGUCCCUUCUUCAGUCUACCUCUCUUGCCCUGCGACAAUUACAAAUAUUCAUCAUCAUCUUCCAAACCUAACCCCUUAACAUUGUCCCCAUUUUAUCCAUUCUCAAGCUCACUUUGUUUUUGUAUUGCAUCCAAGUAUUCAUCAUCAUCUGUUUUCGAAUCAUUACCUAAACUCACAUCAUCAGAUUCAGCAUUAUUGUCCCUUAUACCAUCAUCAUGAGCUUCAACAUCUAUUUCAGGACAUUCAUUCUCAUGUACUAGCACAUCAAACACAUUAUCCUCACCAAGACCAUUAAUGGUGUUAUUAUUUUGGAAUAAGUCUACUGGAUCACUCUUGAAUUCAAUAAAAGGUUUCAAAAAACUAAAGUCAACACCCUCUUCCCACAUUUGCUUUACCUCUGUAUCAUUACAAACAAGGGUCUGAUAUUGCCAAUCACCCCAAUGUUUAUACUAUCCUACUUUCAAUACAUCACCAUAUCCUAACUCUUUACAUUUUUGUACAAUAUCAGCAUAAUUAAGUUGUUCACAAUUAACCAACAGUCAAGUAUUGCUUUCCCCAGGUAUUGCCAAAUAAUUCAGAUGUAAAUAAACUACAUUUUAGUUGAGGUAAUGUUCUAAAACUCAAUAAAAUAUUCAAAGUACUAACCCAUUACUAUUUAUUUAAAUGUCUUUGACUAAAAGAAAGGAGAAUACCUUGUUUGCUUUUGGCUCAAAUAUUCCUCCCACAUUGUCCUUUUUUUGCUUGUCUUCUUCUUCCCCUGUCAUUGGCUAAACCAAUGUUGUAUACCUCUACCAGUAUUCAACUCUAUAGCAAAGCAAUAAAGAAUGUUUUCUCGCCAACGCUUUGUCUUUAACACUCUGGACCACCUCUACUGUUAAUCGAGAGUAUUUUAGUAUGGGUUUAAGGAUAAUCUCUCAAAAAAUUGCCAAAGAGGAGACCGAUUUUAAUAGUGACAGAUUUUAAUUUUAGGGUUUUUUUAUUCGGGUUAAUGGGUUAAUAUUAUUAGCUGAGGGUUUAACCUUUGUUAGAGUUAGCUUAGAUGAAAAAAUGAAUAAUUAAAAAAAUAAUAUAAAACUCCAAGUGGAAUGCAAGCUGGGUGAUGUGGCACUUGGUCAAAAUUGAUUUGAUAGUUUGGUUAAAAUUGUGUCAAAUGUAAAAAGUUGGAUUUAAUCGUUUAAAAUUGAAAUUUUAGGAUAUAAAUGUAAGAAAAAUGAAAACGUUUAGAUUUUUUAGGUUUAUUGGCCAAAACAUUUUUAUAAUUUUUUUUAAAAUUAAAACAUCAAUUAAUAAGUUUUGUUAUAUUAUAGGAAAUAGGUUUUAUUUGGUUGGAGGUAAUUCAGUUAAAAAUUUUAAAUUUGUGGAUAAAUAUAAAAUUUAUGUAUAGUUCGUUGGUAUUUUUUUUUAACUUUUUAAAAAGGUCAAAAUUUUUCUUUUCGGAUAAAUAACUUACUUUUUUUUAAUUUAGUUAAAUUAUUUUUUAACUAUUUGAAUUAAAUAAGAUAUAAGUAGUUAAAUUUUUUUUAAAAAAAUUAUUAUUUAGUUAUUAUAAUAUGUAGAAAUUUAGUAAUUAAUUUUUUUAUUUUAAAAAAAUAUAUUAAAAUAUUUCUAACAUUUUAAUAAAUCUACUAAUUAAUUUUUUAUUAAUUUUAAUAAUUAAAUAUUAUAAAAAAUUUAAAAUAUUUUUAAUAUAAAAUAAUUAAUUAAUAAAUUUAUUAAAAAUAUGAGAGAUUAAUUAAUAUUUUUUAAAAUUAUAAAAAGUAAAUAGUAAAAUAUUUAAUAAUAAAAUUAAUAAAAUAAUUAAUUAAUAAACUUUUAAAAUAUUAAAAGUUUUAAUAUAUUUUUUAAAUUGAGAGAUAAUCUUUUACUAAAUAAUAAUUUUAUUAUUAUUAUUAUUCCAAAAGUUGACAAUAACAAAUAGAAUGAAGAGAAGAUUUUAGAGUGCGACACCUAAGGCGAGCCGGCAAGCGACACGGCUUGACAGCCAAAGCUCAAAGCUCAAGGGGCUCAACUUCACUUUGUGAGUCUCGACUGACGCCAUUUAUUAUUAUUAUUGUUAUUUUUAUAAAAAAAAAUUAUUCAUAUAGUACGAUUCAAUAUACAGAAGAAAGAACAGUGAUUUGAUUUUAAUAUAAAUAAACAAAUACACUUUCAUCACAGUCAAAAAUAAACCAUGGUUUGUUGAAGUUAAACAAAUACCUCGAUCUCCGUACCACAAAGCUGACGCGUGUUCUCCCUUUAACAACGCGGUUUCUCUUUCCCUUCACCGCCCUAUUUGAUGUUCUCCUUGUCUCCUUUCUCAUCCCCUCUCAUCAAC